AUUGAACGCUGGCGGCGUGCCUAACACAUGCAAGUCGAGCGGUAACAGGUGUAGCAAUACAUGCUGACGAGCGGCGAACGGGUGAGUAAUGCUUUGGAAUCUUCCCAGUAGUGGGGAAUAACCAGUCGAAAGAUUGGCUAAUACCGCAUACGUCUGUAAAGGGAAAGCGGGGACUCGCCUCUUCUUCGGAAGAGAGGCCUCGCGCUAUUGGAUGAGCCAAAGCGGAUUAGCUAGUUGGUGGGGUAAUGGCCUACCAAGGCGACAAUCCGUAGCCGGUCUGAGAGGACGACCAGCCACACCGGAACUGAGACACGGUCCGGACUCCUACGGGAGGCAGCAGUGGGGAAUAAUUGGACAAUGGGGGAAACCCUGAUCCAGCGACGCCGCGUGUGUGAAGAAGGCCUGCGGGUUGUAAAGC
rnacentral:rRNA from 1 species